rnacentral:rRNA from 1 species
GUGGGGAAUAUUGCACAAUGGGCGAAAGCCUGAUGCAGCAACGCCGCGUGAGGGACGACGGCCUUCGGGUUGUAAACCUCUUUUAGUAGGGAAGAAGCGAAAGUGACGGUACCUGCAGAAAAAGCACCGGCUAACUACGUGCCAGCAGCCGCGGUAAUACGUAGGGUGCAAGCGUUAUCCGGAAUUAUUGGGCGGAAAGAGCUCGUAGGCGGUCUGUCGCGUCUGCUGUGAAAACUGGAGGCUCAACCUCCAGCCUGCAGUGGGUACGGGCAGACUAGAGUGCGGUAGGGGAGAUUGGAAUUCCUGGUGUAGCGGUGGAAUGCGCAGAUAUCAGGAGGAACACCGAUGGCGAAGGCAGAUCUCUGGGCCGUAACUGACGCUGAGGAGCGAAAGCGUGGGGAGCGAACAGGAUUAGAAACCCGAGUAGUCC